rnacentral:tRNA from 2 species
GGAGAGGUGGGUGAGUGGCUGAAACCACCAGUUUGCUAAACUGACGUACGGGUUUACCGUACCACGAGUUCGAAUCUCGUCCUCUCCGCAA